rnacentral:rRNA from 1 species
GCAAGGAAUAACUAUGAUUCCCUCAGUAACGGCGAGUGAAGCGGGAAGAGCUCAUUCUGUGAAUCUGUAUGCUCUUUUGGUAUACCGAGUUGUAGAAUAUAGAAGCACAUCAGUGCGAAUUCCGGUCUAAGUCUCUUGGAAAAGAGCAGCUAAGAGGGUGAGACUCCCGUUCUUGGCUGGAAUUCAAACUUUAGCAUGUGGUUUCGACGAGUCGAGUUGCUUGGGAUUGCAGCUCAAAGUUGGUGGUAAAUUCCAUCUAAAGCUAAAUAUCGGUGGGAGACCGAUAGCGUACAAGUACCGUGAGGGAAAGAUGCAAAGAACUUUGAAAAAAGAGUUAAAGAGUACCUGAAAUUGCUGAAAUGGAAGCGAAGGAAACCAGUGCCGUUCUGUAUCAUUCUUCCGUCCUUGCUUGCGAGGGUGGCGCUGUGAUGCAGGAUAGGCCAGCGUGGGUUUGAGCCGAAGGAAGCAGCUCUUCAGGAGGCAGCGCAAUUUCUGUGCGAUUACUGUUGAGCUUUGCUUCGGCUUGGACUGAGGCUAGUCACUUGUGCUCGUGACGCUGGCGAAAUGGUUUUCUUUACCCCGUCUUGAAACACGGACCAAGGAGUCUAACAUAUGUGCGAGUAUAUGAGUGACAAACUCACAUGCGAAAUGAAAGUAACAGUGGUUGGACCUUCUGGGCACAAUCCGCCGGCCACAAUCCUUCGGGAGAAAGGUCUGAGUGUGAGCAUACAUGUUGGGACCCGAAAGAUGGUGAACUAUGCCUGAAUAGGGUGAAGCCGCGGAAAGC